CACUAGUUUAAUUAUUAAAAUAUGACUUUUGUAAUGUCAAAAUAGUGUUUUAUCACUGUGAAACU
rnacentral:tRNA from 1 species